UACGGGGGGGGCAAGCGUUGUUCGGAAUUACUGGGCGUAAAGGGCUCGUAGGCGGCCAACUAAGUCGGAUGUGAAAUCCCCAGGCUUAACCUGGGAACUGCAUCCGAUACUGGAUGGCUUGAAUCCGGGAGAGGGAUGCGGAAUUCCAGGUGUAGCGGUGAAAUGCGUAGAUAUCUGGAGGAAUACCGGUGGCGAAGGCGGCGAUCCUAGGACCGGGCAUUGACGGCCUGAGGAGCGAAAGCCAGGGGAGCAAAACGGGG
rnacentral:rRNA from 1 species